rnacentral:snoRNA from 1 species
CCUUCAGUGAUGAUAAGAUGACGAGUCAGAAGGGAUGUCCUUGUGCCAGCACAGCCUGGUCAGUGCCAUGUUCUGUGGUGCUGUACUAAGGCUGCCUUGGGCAGGAUGUCCUCCUCAUUGGUUGAUUCAGAGGCAUUUGUCUGAGAAGG